rnacentral:rRNA from 1 species
AACGAACGCUGGCGGCAGGCCUAACACAUGCAAGUCGAACGCCGUAGCAAUACGGAGUGGCAGACGGGUGAGUAACGCGUGGGAACAUACCCCUCGGUUCGGAAUAACUUAGGGAAACUUGAGCUAAUACCGGAUACGUCCGAGGUUUUAAUCGGCCUUGGAGAAAGAUUUAUCGCCGGAGGAUUGGCCCGCGUCUGAUUAGCUUGUUGGUGAGGUAAUGGCUCACCAAGGCGACGAUCAGUAGCUGGUCUGAGAGGAUGAUCAGCCACAUUGGGACUGAGACACGGCCCAAACUCCUACGGGAGGCAGCAGUGGGGAAUAUUGGACAAUGGGCGAAAGCCUGAUCCAGCCAUGCCGCGUGAGUGAUGAAGGCCUUAGGGUUGUAAAGCUCUUUUACCCGGGAAGAUAAUGACGAUACCGGGAGAAUAAGCCCCGGCUAACUUCGUGCCAGCCGCCGCCGUAAC